GUGAUAGUUCGCUAUCACAUAUACUAAAAUUGGAACGAUACAGAGAAGAUUAGCAUGGCCCCUGCGCAAAGCUUAUGGAGCGUUCUUCUCUGUUUUC